rnacentral:rRNA from 1 species
GAUGAACGCUGGCGGCGUGCUUAACACAUGCAAGUCGAACGGGAAACCUUUUAUUGAAGCUUCGGCAGAUUUAGCUGGUUUCUAGUGGCGGACGGGUGAGUAACGCGUGGGUAACCUGCCUUAUACAGGGGGAUAACAACCAGAAAUGGUUGCUAAUACCGCAUAAGCGCACAGGACCGCAUGGUCCGGUGUGAAAAACUCCGGUGGUAUAAGAUGGACCCGCGUUGGAUUAGCUAGUUGGCAGGGUAACGGCCUACCAAGGCGACGAUCCAUAGCCGGCCUGAGAAGGUGAACGGCCACAUUGGGACUGAGACACGGCCCAGACUCCUACGGGAAGCAGCAGUGGGGAAUAUUGCACAAUGGGGGAAACCCUGAUGCAGCGACGCCGCGUGAAGGAAGAAGUAUCUCGGUAUGUAAACUUCUAUCAGCAGGGAAGAUAGUGACGGUACCUGACUAAGAAGCCCCGGCUAACUACGUG